rnacentral:rRNA from 1 species
GACGAACGCUGGCGGCGUGCUUAACACAUGCAAGUCGAACGGAAAGGCCCUGCUUUUGUGGGGUGCUCGAGUGGCGAACGGGUGAGUAACACGUGAGUAACCUGCCCUUGACUUUGGGAUAACUUCAGGAAACUGGGGCUAAUACCGGAUAGGAGCUCCUGCUGCAUGGUGGGGGUUGGAAAGUUUCGGCGGUUGGGGAUGGACUCGCGGCUUAUCAGCUUGUUGGUGGGGUAGUGGCUUACCAAGGCUUUGACGGGUAGCCGGCCUGAGAGGGUGACCGGCCACAUUGGGACUGAGAUACGGCCCAGACUCCUACGGGAGGCAGCAGUGGGGAAUAUUGCACGAUGGGCGGAAGCCUGAUGCAGUAACGCCGCGUGCGGGAUGACGGCCUUCGGAUUGUAAACCGCUUUCGCCUGUGACGAAGCGUGAGUGACGGUAAUGGGUAAAGAAGCACCGGCUAACUACGUGCCAGCAGCCGCGGUGAUACGUAGGGUGCGAGCGUUGUCCGGAUUUAUUGGGCGUAAAGGGCUCGUAGGUGGUUGAUCGCGUCGGAAGUGUAAUCUUGGGGCUUAACCCUGAGCGUGCUUUCGAUACGGGUUGACUUGAGGAAGGUAGGGGAGAAUGGAAUUCCUGGUGGAGCGGUGGAAUGCGCAGAUAUCAGGAGGAACACCAGUGGCGAAGGCGGUUCUCUGGGCCUUUCCUGACGCUGAGGAGCGAAAGCGUGGGGAGCGAACAGGCUUAGAUACCCUGGUAGUCCACGCUGUAAACGGUGGGUACUAGGUGUGGGGUCCAUUCCACGGGUUCCGUGCCGUAGCUAACGCUUUAAGUACCCCGCCUGGGGAGUACGGCCGCAAGGCUAAAACUCAAAGGAAUUGACGGGGCCCCGCACAAGCGGCGGAGCAUGCGGAUUAAUUCGAUGCAACGCGUAGAACCUUACCUGGGUUUGACAUGGAUCGGGAGUGCUCAGAGAUGGGUGUGCCUCUUUUGGGGUCGGUUCACAGGUGGUGCAUGGCUGUCGUCAGCUCGUGUCGUGAGAUGUUGGGUUAAGUCCCGCAACGAGCGCAACCCUUGUUCACUGUUGCCAGCACGUUAUGGUGGGGACUCAGUGGAGACCGCCGGGGUCAACUCGGGGGAAGGUGGGGAUGACGUCAAGUCAUCAUGCCCCUUAUGUCCAGGGCUUCACGCAUGCUACAAUGGCUGGUACAGAGAGUGGCGAGCCUGUGAGGGUGAGCGAAUCUCGGAAAGCCGGUCUCAGUUCGGAUUGGGGUCUGCAACUCGACCUCAUGAAGUCGGAGUCGCUAGUAAUCGCAGAUCAGCAACGCUGCGGUGAAUACGUUCCCGGGGCU